rnacentral:rRNA from 1 species
CCUACGGGGGGCAGCAGUGGGGAAUAUUGGACAAUGGGCGAAAGCCUGAUCCAGCCAUGCCGCGUGUGUGAAGAAGGCCUUCGGGUUGUAAAGCACUUUCAGUGGGGAAGAAAGCCUUGGGGCUAAUACCCUCGAGGAAGGACAUCACCCACAGAAGAAGCACCGGCUAACUCCGUGCCAGCAGCCGCGGUAAUACGGAGGGUGCGAGCGUUAAUCGGAAUUACUGGGCGUAAAGCGCGCGUAGGCGGUCUGAUAAGCCGGUUGUGAAAGCCCCGGGCUCAACCUGGGAACGGCAUCCGGAACUGUCAGGCUAGAGUGCAGGAGAGGAAGGUAGAAUUCCCGGUGUAGCGGUGAAAUGCGUAGAGAUCGGGAGGAAUACCAGUGGCGAAGGCGGCCUACUGGAAUGACACUGACGCUGAGGUGCGAAAGCGUGGGUAGCAAACAGGAUUAGAUACCCUGGUAGUC